CAGGUUAUGCCCUUUGGGUAGUA
rnacentral:miRNA from 1 species